CAGAAAAUAGUUUAGUUUAGAAUUCUGGCUUUGGGAGCCAGGGGUGGGAGUGAAAAUCUCCUUUUUCUGG
rnacentral:tRNA from 1 species